GAGUCAUUUGUCACCUCGCUGCUCUUUUCAAGAAAAAGGAGCUGUUAUUCUCUCCGGCAUGUGAACAGAAGCUGCUUCUUAGAACAAAACGAGGGCGUCAAAUUCUGCUGCUGAAACCUGAAAGCAGAACUUCGGUUCCUAGAAUGAUUUAAACUGAAAACAAAAAAAAUUCUUCGAGUGUAAAAAGGGAAAAAAUAGAGCAGUUAGUGUUUUCUGUCAUUCUUUCCUACACUGACGUGAAAAGGGAAAAUGGUGAGCCGGUCGGCCAAGUUGUGAUGCUUAUCAGCGUCUGUAUCGCUGCUCGCCAGACGCGCUGAUGUAAUCUGUCAGCCGCCGUGCGGGGCCUCUUCACUUUCAUUCAGCUCAUUGCUGACUUUUAAGAGGAUGGGCUUCCAUUUAGAAAUUCACUCUCAAUUUAAAUACUGAAUUAAAAAAAAUAAAAUUGAAUUAAAAAACCUCCCAGCAGCUGAAAACCGGCACCGACCGGCCGGCUGGCGGCUCCGUACUCAGCGUCAAAUAUUUUACGUUUUAAAUCUAAUUUGGGAGAUUUUAUUUUUUUCAGGCAGAAUUAAAUAAAUUAAAAAAAUAGAAAAAUGCGCGCCGCAUCUCCUCCCUGAUGCUGCCCUCAUUUCUGCGCCAUAUCGAUGCAGAGAGCGGACUGAGAUGGAGGAAGAACAGCCGCCGGCAAGGUAAUCAGAUCGAUUUCACGGCUGGAGCGGCUCCCCGGCCGGAACCGCCGCCAUCAGCCUGAGCGGCAGGUUUUCCUCCCGCAUGGCGCCGGGUAGAGGAGGGCUGUCGGGUUCAGAGCCCCGCUCCCUGUUUUACUGACAAUGAGGCAAAGAUCAGGUUGCAGCGGGCCGGACCGGAACCCGAACCGGAGCAGGAGGAAACCUCCACAAACUCCCGGUUACUUCCGGUGUUUCCUGACAGGAUGGAGAGCAGAAACUGAUUCUGAAGGACUUCCGGUGAAGUGAAAACUGGACAGUUUCCUCUGAACGCGGAACAAAUGCGGGUCUUUAACUUUAUCAUGACUAACUGAGCCACAGCCUGAAUCUUAUUGAUCUUCAUCAGGCUGAUCAAUUGAACCCAUCGCCUCCUGAUUGGAGGGGAAAGCAGCGCAGAACCCGCUGCGGAACUUUUCAAACUGGGCGCUAAAGAAACGCUUUAACUCCCGCCUGACGCUGCGGGAUGAACCGCAGCUUCGCCGCAGGCUGCCGGUGUGCGGGAGCGGCUGAGUGACGCUCUGUCUGCGGGAUCAUGUUUAAUCCCCGCCUGUUCACAACUCAUUUCUGCACACAGAGGCGCAGAGAUGGGGACUCAGAUGGUUGCCGGGGCAACCGCGUUAGGACUGACGGAGCCGUUUCCCUGAACGGAGGCAAUCUGCAGCAGAGGUCGUCACAAAGUCAUUCCUGAUUACUUUCCUCUUUCCUGGAGCUUCUCGGCUGCAGCUCAACAUCCAACAGUUCAUUCAGUUCACUCGUUCAGUUCACUCGUUCAGUUGGCAGGUGUAAAUCCUGCAUGUGACGUCACGUGGAUCCGUUCCUCGCAGAUCAGAGUUUCAGGUGUUUUUUUUCUGUUCAUGUUCCUGAUGAUUCCUUCAGAUUCAGAUCUGAAAUGAUUCAGUUAUGUUUCUGAUUUUACACGGAAUCACGUUGUUGCUUGGAUUUUGCGGCGCCACGUUCAGGCCCUGAACUUCACAUUUUAACGGAAAAAAGCGCAAAGCGACUCGGAUGUAACGAGUAACGCGACGGUUUAGUAGAAAUGUAGUGAAGUAGAAAGUACAGCUACUUACUGUAAAAUGUAGUGGAGUAAAAGUCGAGUUAAAGUAACGAAUUCUUGUCCUUCGUUACUUCCCACAAAACUAAAACCUCAGCAGUAAUAAUUCAGCCAGUGAUUAAUGUAUAAGUUUUGUGCAUAAAAGCAGCAAAUGUUCUCAAAAGUCAUUAGAUUAGAGGCCGAGAGUUUGACUUCACUCCUGUUUUUAUUUUAAAUAUUUUAAACUCUGAAUGUUUGUUUUGUGAAAAAUAUUCAGUUAAAUUUGUUUCACAGAAACUUUUACACUGGAACAUUAAACCCACAGGUUAAAAAUCAGCAUUAAAUGAUCUUAUUGAUUCAUUUAUAUUCAUUCCUCAGCAGAUACAUGUUGAAAUAUUUAUAAUACCGUUAAAAACGUGAUUUAUUGAAGUAAAUAAAUUCAUAAAGUGAAGUUCAUAUUCUGUUGGAAAAUGAAACAAUCAGACUAUGAAGCAUAUGCUGCUUGUUUAUCUCCUAAACCUUUUCCUUCCACUAAACUUUCCAUUAAUGUGCAGAUGUAGCACUCU